UACCGUGGUUGGUCUUCCAAUUUUGCCCUUCCACAUCUCACAUUCAAACCCACCACUCUCCCAUUUUUAAAGAAACGAAAUUCCCUGACCGGCCACUAAUUUCUUCCUCUUCCACCGGUGGCGACAGCGUGGAUCUAAUCGAAAACUCCCUACAGGUUCAAGACAACCAUGGAUCAAUAUUCUACCUCGACGCAUAUGGGCUUCCACACUGCUUCGACUUCCAACCCCGAACCAAUCUCGCCCCAAGCCCAUGCGAAGAGGACUACCCAGCGGACGCCCGAAGAUAAUCGAGUCUUCAUUGCCGCCUGUGAGACUGUAAUAGCCGAUGAGCACCGUAGUGGAAAGUGCUUCACAAAACAUGGCUGCCGCACAAUUGUCCAAUUGUUCAAUGCCAACUCUGGGCACGAUUGGAGUAGGUAGCAGUUGAAGAAACAUUGGGAUUAUCUUCGGGUCAAGUAUAAACGUCUCCAGGACUUGAUAGACAGUACCGACAUAGCGUACGACUCUGUACGCAGCCGUCUAGUCACGUCCGAUGAGUGGUGGACACGAAAGAUUAAGGAGAGCAAAGAUUAUAGAAAGUUCGAAGACAAAAACUGCAGAGAGAUAAACGCCUAUCGAGAUCUGUUCGCGGACGCAUUCGACAGCAAAACGUACGCGAUGACACCGACGAAGCUGUGCAGGACCGAAUUCGCUAUGUUUGAAGACAGUACAAACGACGACACGCGUGAUGCAAUGCCUAUGUACGAUGAGAGUAGCUGCUCCAGUGAUGAGGGCAACAAGUUAGACGGGCCCACUUCAAGCAUGGACAUCUCCGAUCGUAGGAGUGGAGAGAAACGUAGAUCUGGCUACAGUAAAAGCAAGGAGAAAGAACUAAAAUAUCGGCUAAGGAAUUGUCGUACUCAGUUGAUAAGGCCACGAUUGCAAGUGAGAAAGUUGUGGCAAAAAUCAACAACUUAGUUGGAUCCAAUGUUUCGAGCAUGAAGACAUACAUGAAAGAGUUGUUCGCAACUGGCAGUUUGCAAAAGAAAACUGACCUCUACUUUUGGACCUGCACGUUUCCGUCUUUAAAGUGAAACAAGGAAGUCCUGGAGACGUAGGAGGAUGCGAACGAGAAGAUGGAUUGGCUGAAGUGGAACUGGCAUGAGUACAGGAGAGGACGACCGCAGUGGCAACUGCAUGCAGGGCUGAAUAAAUUUUAACCAUUGUGGAAUGGGUGUUUGCUUUGUUAUUUUUUCAUUUUCGUCGGUGUGCGAUUCGUCAACUUUAGAAUAUUGUUGUUGUGUACUUUUUAAGAUUUUCUGUAUCCAUGUAUUUAGUACGAACUACUGAGAUUUCAUGUC